AUCCUUGCCUAAAGCCUAUCCAAAGGUCUCGGAGCUAUUUGGAAGAGAGGUCUAGGUGAGGUUGAUUUUGAAUCCAUUUCUAAACCGAUAUUUCUAUUGCAUUUUAUCUCCUGUUAAUAGGCAAAUAUAGAUGCUAGCAGUGGUUUAUGCUAUUAUUAAUGUAUUUUCAUUAAUGAGAGUUGUUGAUGAAACUAGUAAAAGUUAUUGGCUUGAAUCUCUCCAUUGUAGUUGCAGAAGAUUUCUUUUAUGUUCUCUCUAGCA
rnacentral:lncRNA from 1 species